GAUGAACGCUGGCGGCGUGCCUAAUACAUGCAAGUCGAGCGAACUGAUUAGAAGCUUGCUUCUAUGACGUUAGCGGCGGACGGGUGAGUAACACGUGGGCAACCUGCCUGUAAGACUGGGAUAACUUCGGGAAACCGAAGCUAUACCGGAUAGGAUCUUCUCCUUCAUGGGAGAUGAUUGAAAGAUGGUUUCGGCUAUCACUUACAGAUGGGCCCGCGGUGCAUUAGCUAGUUGGUGAGGUAACGGCUCACCAAGGCAACGAUGCAUAGCCGACCUGAGAGGGUGAUCGGCCACACUGGGACUGAGACACGGCCCAGACUCCUACGGGAGGCAGCAGUGGGGAAUCUUCCGCAAUGGACGAAAGUCUGACGGAGCAACGCCGCGUGAGUGAUGAAGGCUUUCGGGUCGUAAAACUCUGUUGUUAGGGAAGAACAAGUACAAGAGUAACUGCUUGUACCUUGACGGUACCUAACCAGAAAGCCACGGCUAACUACGUGCCAGCAGCCGCCGUAACAC
rnacentral:rRNA from 1 species